CCCUUAGAUGUUCUGGGCCGCACGCGCGCUACACUGAUGCAUUCAACGAGCCUAUCCUUGACCGACAGGUCCGGGUAAUCUUUGAAUCUGCAUCGUGACGGGGAUAGAUUAUUGCAAUUAUUAAUCUUCAGCGAGGAAUGCCUAGUAGGCGCAAGUCAUCAGCUUGCGUCGAUUACGUCCCUGCCCUUUGUACACACCGCCCGUCGCUCCUACCGAUUGGGUGUGCUGGUGAAAUGUUCGGAUCGGCCGUUUGUCGCGGUUUCCGCGUCAUGUGGCUGAGAAGUUCAUUAAACCCUCCCACCGAGAGGAAGGAGAAGUCGUAACA
rnacentral:rRNA from 1 species